AUAUUAGCAAAUUUAAUAUUUAUUUUGAUGUGGUUUGAUAAAUAAUACAAAUUUUAAAAAAACAUGAAAAAUUAAAUAAAAAAUUAAAAUAGUUUUUUUAAAUUGGAGGAAAAAAAUUAUUGUGCCAUAAUAAUUUGGCACGUGUCCUCGUGAUCCUCACACUACUUUUUUUUUCCCUACAAAAAGUAUGGCUGAAACACCACCAUAUUUCUCCAAAAAAAAAAAAAAAUAAAUAAAAACACCGUAUUGC
rnacentral:lncRNA from 1 species